CCUACGGGUGGCUGCAGUGGGGAAUAUUGGACAAUGGGCGCAAGCCUGAUCCAGCAAUACCGCGUGUGUGAAGAAGGCCUUAGGGUUGUAAAGCACUUUCAAUGGGGAGGAAAACCUACCGGUCAAUACCCGGUAGCUUGACAUUACCUGUAGAAGAAGCACCGGCUAACUCCGUGCCAGCAGCCGCGGUAAUACGGAGGGUGCAAGCGUUACUUGGAGUUACUGGGCGUAAAGCGUUAAGAGGCGGUUCCAAGCCCCGGGCUUAAGCUGGGAACUGCAUUUGAAACUGGCGGACUAGAGUUGAGUAGAGGGGAGUGGAAUUUCAGGUGUAGCGGUGAAAUGCGUAGAUAUCUGAAGGAACACCAGUGGCGAAGGCGACUCCCUGGACUCAAACUGACGCUGAGGUACGAAAGCGUGGGUAGCAAACAGGAUUAGAUACCCCGGUAGUC
rnacentral:rRNA from 1 species